rnacentral:tRNA from 3 species
GCCCCCGUGGCUCAACGGAUAGAGCACCGGACUUCUAAUCCGAUGGUUGUGGGUUCGAUUCCCGCCGGGGGCACCA